rnacentral:rRNA from 1 species
AUUGAACGCUGGCGGCAGGCCUAACACAUGCAAGUCGAGCGGAGCGGCUGACGGGUGAGUAAUGCCUAGGAAUCUGCCUGGUAGUGGGGGAUAACGUCCGGAAACGGGCGCUAAUACCGCAUACUAUAAUAUGAGCCUAGGUCGGAUUAGCUCGUUGGUGGGGUAAAGGCCUACCAAGGCGACGAUCCGUAACUGGUCUGAGAGGAUGAUCAGUCACACUGGAACUGAGACACGGUCCAGACUCCUACGGGAGGCAGCAGUGGGGAAUAUUGGACAAUGGGCGAAAGCAUGAUCCAGCCAUGCCGCGUGUGUGAAGAAGGUCUUCGGGUUGUAAAGUACUUUCAGCGAGGAGGCGUUACUAGAAGAAGAAGCACCGGCUAACUCCGUGCCAGCAGCCGCGGUAAUUC